CUGGGGUAUAAAUAACCGAGCCCUUUGUUCACACCAGACAUUUUGUGUGUUUACACGGAAGAGCGAGGAGUAAAAUUCCAGUGCAAGGCAAAGCCAACAACUAUAUUGCAACCAUGCAGAUCUUCGUGAAGACCCUGACUGGCAAGACCAUCACCCUGGAGGUUGAGCCCAGUGACACCAUUGAGAACGUGAAGGCAAAGAUCCAGGA